GAGUCCAUGUUAGUGCACACAAAGUAAACUGCUCGCUUUUGUUUUGAGCAUAAAACGCUGAAACCGCAGAAAUAAAACGUGCGAGGGGAACGAUAACGACGACAAGAGUCUCCUGAUCGUUUAUUCUCGCUGUCCUGUGAACAACACCGGUGUGGUGUUAAUUGUUUGCUGUUUUCGCGAUCGUGUCGAGCAUGAGGCUAUCACCAGGUAAACUCGCGACAUUUUUAAACAUUUUGUUGUUCAAUGGCAUCAAGACUGAUGGAGUGUGUUUGAGAUAACCUCACAAGUGUUACGGAUGACAUAUUUGGCGUUUUUUGCUGUUUUGUCGGUAGCAGCUCCUGAAACGCAAGACUGCCACACAUCUGUUUGACCAACGCCAGUUGAUCUAAACGCCAGUAGAUCUGGAACACCGGCUGAGUUGGUUGUGUCCCUGUGACGCGCUUCCAAUAAUUCAUAAUGAGUCGUACUUGUACUUUGCGUAUUUAUUUUAAGAACAAAACAAAAACAAACGUUUGCACUUUCAUUCAAUUCACAAAUAGCACAUAGAUUAACUGGUGUGCCAAAAACUGACGGUGAACAGAAAAGUUUACCCACAAACCACUCACCCAACACACCUGCUGCGGACACCGACAUCAGGAAAAUAGACUGUGACCACACCCACAUGUCAUCAGCUGAGAUGCAGUUGGAGCCACCUGGUGGACAAAUACCGCAACUGUUAAGGUUCCAAGUUGCUGCACAGCGCAUGCCUCAGCAAAGGAAAAUACUCCCGAGCUGGUGGUAGGUGCUUGUGAGCGACACUCCUGUCAAUUGUGACUGAAUGUUGCAGUUGCUUUGCACACUCUUAAUGAUGAUUGUGCUGUUUUCUUUGUACCAGGUAGGCGCUGUUAAGUAUAAGUUUUAAUUGAUGCUGUUGUAUAGAAGAAAAAAAAAAGAUGAACAAUGAUGAUUGUUUUAUAAUAGACAAGUUGUUUUAUAUGUUAUUGUUGUUGUUCGUUAGGAAAAAGGAGAUAAAUAAAUAAUACUGCUACUAUACGAUCACAGGUUUGGUUUCAGCUAGAACUUUUAAAGAAAGACUUUGUUGAUGUUGUGUUGUAUAAAUAUAUCUUAGUCAUUUGUUAAGUGUUAUGUUUGGAAAGAAAAAAAGAAAUGCAAAAGGAAAAUACUCCCGAGCUGGUGGACUGAAUGUUGCAGUUGCUUUGCACACUGUUAAUGAUGAUUGUGCUGUUUUCUUUGUACCAGUUGCCAGAACAAAGAGGGAGCCCAGAGUAAGGGCAAGUCCAGCGUUGCAGUGCCGUCCUUCCUACAUGGACAUUUCACACCACUUGCACGAUAGACUACACAACAGCAACAGCUACAUAUACACCUGUGCCACCAUAACAAAUAAGCAAAACAUAAACAUUGACUUUGGCUCUUACAACAGGAGUCACACAUGUGUCCACUGUACCAUCUGGGAACCUAUGAUGUGUCGGUCGCGAACAAAACAGCUCUUAGAGCCGGAUCUUUGACGUAAACGAUGCGAGCUGGCUCCACUUUUUUCCGCUUCAAUCCGCACGCAAGCCUUGUGCUUACGCUAAGCAGACCGGGGAGGGGUGGUGGUUGCACUCGCAGCAGCACAGGAACAGGGGUCCGUUCUUCGUACCUCGCUAAGUAAGUUAGCCGGAUUUGAUUGUUGACGAUUUUGCGUGAUCUUGGAUCGUUCGGUUCUCCAAAGCUCAUCCGGGACUUGCUGUCAUAGCAACAGAUCC